AUCAAGCUUAUCGAUACCGUCCAGCCAAGUAGCGUGAAGGAUGACUGCCCUAUGGGUUGUAAACUUCUUUUAUAUGGGAAUAAAGUGGUCCACGUGUGGAUUUUUGUAUGUACCAUAUGAAUAAGGAUCGGCUAACUCCGUGCCAGCAGCCGCGGUAAUACGGAGGAUCCGAGCGUUAUCCGGAUUUAUUGGGUUUAAAGGGAGCGUAGGCGGAUUGUUAAGUCAGUUGUGAAAGUUUGCGGCUCAACCGUAAAAUUGCAGUUGAUACUGGCAGUCUUGAGUGCAGUAGAGGUGGGCGGAAUUCGUGGUGUAGCGGUGAAAUGCUUAGAUAUCACGAAGAACUCCGAUUGCGAAGGCAGCUCACUGGAGUGUAACUGACGCUGAUGCUCGAAAGUGUGGGUAUCAAACAGGAUUAGAUACCCUGGUAGUCCACACAGUAAACGAUGAAUACUCGCUGUUUGCGAUAUACAGUAAGCGGCCAAGCGAAAGCAUUAAGUAUUCCACCUGGGGAGUACGCCGGCAACGGUGAAACUCAAAGGAAUUGACGGGGGCCCGCACAAGCGGAGGAACAUGUGGUUUAAUUCGAUGAUACGCGAGGAACCUUACCCGGGCUUAAAUUGCAAAUGAAUUAUGGGGAAACCCAUAGGCCGUAAGGCAUUUGUGAAGGUGCUGCAUGGUUGUCGUCAGCUCGUGCCGUGAGGUGUCGGCUUAAGUGCCAUAACGAGCGCAACCCUUAUCUUCAGUUACUAACAGGUCAUGCUGAGGACUCUGGAGAGACUGCCGUCGUAAGAUGUGAGGAAGGUGGGGAUGACGUCAAAUCAGCACGGCCCUUACGUCCGGGGCUACACACGUGUUACAAUGGGGGGUACAGAAGGCCGCUACCUGGUGACAGGAUGCCAAUCCCAAAAACCUCUCUCAGUUCGGAUCGAAGUCUGCAACCCGACUUCGUGAAGCUGGAUUCGCUAGUAAUCGCGCAUCAGCCAUGGCGCGGUGAAUACGUUCCCGGGCCUUGUACACACCGCCCGUCAAGCCAUGAAAGCCGGGGGUACCUGAAGUACGUAACCGCAAGGAGCGUCCUAGGGUAAAACUGGUAAU
rnacentral:rRNA from 1 species